rnacentral:lncRNA from 1 species
GCCCUACCAUGGAUCGCCGCAGUCCAGACAUGAUUUAUCAUGGCGUAUGCACAUUUGUGCACGAUCCAAUGAUGGAAAGCAUCAUAGGCAUGAUCCGACAGUUCUAGUGGUGAGUGGGCAUGAUCCGAUGGGCAAAAGCAUGAUCGAGUGAUUCAAAGAAACAUGCAGAAGUGAUAAGAUGGUCUAGAUAUUUUUGAAGUUUGAUCAGGACUAUGAUUUCGAUCUGAAUUAAAUUUUGUCUCUAUAAAGGAUGUCUAACCGCCUGU